GCAUGGGUGGUUCAGCGGUAGAAUUCUCACCUGUCAUGAGGGAGGCCCAGGUUCAUUUCCUGGCCCAUGCA
rnacentral:tRNA from 1 species